AUUGAACGCUGGCGGCAGGCUUAACACAUGCAAGUCGAGCGAGCGGCGGACGGGUGAGUAAUGUCUGGGAAACUGCCUGAUGGAGGGGGAUAACUACUGGAAACGGUAGCUACUACCGCAUACCAUCAGAUGUGCCCAGAUGGGAUUAGCUAGUAGUUGGGGUAAUGGCUCACCUAGGCGACGAUCCCUAGCUGGUCUGAGAGGAUGCCCAGCCACACUGGAACGGAGACACGGUCCAGACUCCUACGGGAGGCAGCAGUGGGGAAGAUUGCACAAUGGGCGCAAGCCUGAUGCAGCCAUGCCGCGUGUGUGAAGAAGGCCUUCGGGUUGUAAAGCACUUUCAGCGAGGAGGCGGUACUCGCAGAAGAAGCACCGGCUAACUCCGUGCCAGCCGCCGCGGUAAUUC
rnacentral:rRNA from 1 species